UACGAAGGGGGCGAGCGUUGUUCGGAAUCACUGGGCGUAAAGGGCGCGUAGGCGGCCCUUCUUGUCGCGUGUGAAAGCCCCGGGCUCAACCUGGGAACGGCGCGCGAGACGGGAGGGCUGGAGUUCGGGAGAGGAGCGUGGAAUUCCCAGUGUAGAGGUGAAAUUCGUAGAUAUUGGGAAGAACACCGGUGGCGAAGGCGGCGCUCUGGACCGAGACUGACGCUGAGGCGCGAAAGCCAGGGGAGCAAACGGG
rnacentral:rRNA from 1 species